rnacentral:misc_RNA from 1 species
AACUAACGCUAUAUUUGUUACAGUUUCUGUACUUUAUUGGUAAGUAUACCUUCCGGAACCACUUCCGGUCAAAUUUUGACACGAGGCCCUCGGGCUUCA